rnacentral:siRNA from 1 species
UUUUAGUCCAAGUUCACUUCA